GUAGUCCACGCCGUAAACGAUGAUGACUAGCUGUCGGGGCGCUUGGCGUUUCGGUGGCGCAGCUAACGCGUUAAGUCAUCCGCCUGGGGAGUACGGCCGCAAGGUUAAAACUCAAAGAAAUUGACGGGGGCCUGCACAAGCGGUGGAGCAUGUGGUUUAAUUCGAAGCA
rnacentral:rRNA from 1 species